rnacentral:rRNA from 1 species
UAAAGCAAGAAAGGGCGUAUGGGGAAUGCCUAGGCACACUCCGGCGAAGAAGGACGCAGCAAACAGCGAAAUGCGACGGUGAGCGGUAAGCACGUGAAGAGCCGUCGAUAUCCGAAUGGGGGAACCCACACGGAGUCAUAUCCGUGUAUCACAUGUCGAAUACAUAGACAUGAUGAGGCGAGACGCAGGGAACUGAAACAUCUAAGUACCUGCAGGAAGAGAAAAUAAGAAUGAUUUUCUGAGUAGCGGCGAGCGAAAGGGAAAGAGCCCAAACCGAUCUGAGGAUCGGGGUAGUAGGAUCAUCGAGAAAUCAAACAGAGGAUCAUAGAGGAAUCACAUGGGAAGGUGAGCGAGAGAGGGUGAGAGCCCCGUACUCGAAAUGAGAGACUGGAGAGAGAUGACACCUGAGUAGGGCGGGACACGAGAAAUCCUGUCUGAAUCAGCCGGGACCAUCCGGCAAGGCUAAAUACGAGAGAGUGACCGAUAGUGAACCAGUACCGUGAGGGAAAGGUGAAAAGAACCCCGGGAGGGGAGUGAAAGAGAACCUGAAACCAUAUGCCUACAAGAAGUCAGAGCCCGUUAAAGGGUGAUGGCGUGCCUUUUGUAGAAUGAACCGGCGAGUUACUGUAUGGAGCGAGGUUAAGCAGGAUAUGCGGAGCCGAAGCGAAAGCGAGUCUUAAGAGGGCGCGAGUUGCAUGCAGUAGACCCGAAACCGGGUGAUCUAGCCAUGACCAGGUUGAAGUUGGGGUAAAACCCGAUGGAGGACCGAACCGACCCCCGUUGAAACGUUGGCGGAUGAGUUGUGGCUAGGGGUGAAAUUCCAAUCGAACCCGGAGAUAGCUGGUUCUCCCCGAAAUAGCUUUAGGGCUAGCGUCGAGAGAAGAGUUGCGUGAAGGUAGAGCACUGAAUAUGUGAUGGCCCCAUCUCGGGGUACUGAGCAUAAUCAAACUGCGAAUGUCACGCCAACAUGCUCGGCAGUCAGACAGCGGGUGAUAAGGUCCGUUGUCAAGAGGGAAACAGCCCAGACCAUCAGCUAAGGUCCCAAAAUGUAUGCUAAGUGGAAAAGGAUGUGGAGAUGUACAGACAACUAGGAGGUUGGCUCAGAAGCAGCCAUCCUUUAAAGAGUGCGUAACAGCUCACUAGUCGAAUGACUCUGCGCCGAUAAUUUACCGGGGCUAAGCAUACUACCGAAGCUAUGGAUCCCAAGGGAUGGUAGGGGAGCGUUCCAUGAACGGAGAAGUACGACCGAAAGGACGUGUGGAGAUCAUGGAAGAGAGAAUGCCGGUGUGAGUAGCGGAACGUGGGUGAGAAUCCCACGCACCGAAAACCCAAGGUUUCCAGAGGAAGGUUCGUCCGCUCUGGGUAAGUCGGGACCUAAGGCGAGGCCGAAAGGCGUAGUCGAUGGACAACAGGUAGAGAUUCCUGUACCCGUAUAUAUGUGAAGGAAUGACGGAGAGAGGAAGCUGCAGCCAGCGGCUGGAAGAGCUGGUGCAAGCGAGAUAUCGGGAUGGCAGGCAAAUCCACCAUCCGAAACGAGAAGGCGUGAAGCGUACGGAAAGCUACGGCGAGUACGGAAGGCAGUGGAGGAACUUCCAAGAAAAGUUUCUAACGUUAAGUAUAUAUGGCCCGUACCGAAAAUGGACACACAUGGGUGAGGAGAGAAUCCUAAGGUGAGCGAGAGAACUAUAGCUAAGGAACUCUGCAAAAUGACUCCGUAACUUAGGGAGAAGGAGUGCUCAUAGAGAUAUGAGCCGCAGUGAAACGGCCCAAGCGACUGUUUACCAAAAACACAGCUCUCUGCUAAGCCGCAAGGCGAAGUAUAGGGGGUGACGCCUGCCCGGUGCUGGAAGGUUAAGGGGAGGGGUUAACGCAAGUGAAGCCCUGAACUGAAGCCCCAGUAAACGGCGGCCGUAACUAUAACGGUCCUAAGGUAGCGAAAUUCCUUGUCAGGUAAGUUCUGACCCGCACGAAUGGCGUAAUGACUUGGGCACUGUCUCAACUGCAAAUCCGGCGAAGUUGUAGUGCGAGUGAAGAUGCUCGCUACCCGCGAUUGGACGGAAAGACCCCGUAGAGCUUUACUGUAGCUUAGCAUUGAAUUCCGGUAUUGUCUGUACAGGAUAGGUGGGAGACUGGGAAACUAGGGCGUCAGCCUUAGUGGAGUCAACCUUGGGAUACCACCCUGACAGUACUGGGGUUCUAACAGGACGCCAUGAAGCUGGUGACUGGACAUUGUUAGGUGGGCAGUUUGACUGGGGCGGUCGCCUCCUAAAAAGUAACGGAGGCGCCCAAAGGUUCCCUCAGAACGGUCGGAAAUCGUUCGUAGAGUGCAAAGGCAGAAGGGAGCCUGACUGCGAGACCCACAAGUCGAGCAGGGACGAAAGUCGGGCUUAGUGAUCCGGUGGUACCUCGUGGGAGGGCCAUCGCUCAACGGAUAAAAGCUACCUCGGGGAUAACAGGCUGAUCUCCCCCAAGAGUCCACAUCGACGGGGAGGUUUGGCACCUCGAUGUCGGCUCGUCGCAUCCUGGGGCUGUAGUAGGUCCCAAGGGUUGGGCUGUUCGCCCAUUAAAGCGGCACGCGAGCUGGGUUCAGAACGUCGUGAGACAGUUCGGUCCCUAUCCGUCGCGGGCGUAGGAAAUUUGAGAGGAGCUGUCCUUAGUACGAGAGGACCGGGAUGGACUGACCUCUGGUGCACCAGUUGUUCUGCCAAGAGCAUGGCUGGGUAGCUAAGUCGGGAAGGGAUAAACGCUGAAAGCAUCUAAGCGUGAAGCCCCCCUCAAGAUGAGAUUUCCCAUAGCAUAAGCUAGUAAGACCCCUUGAAGAACACAAGGUUGAUAGGUCAGAGGUGGAAGUGCGGUAACGUAUGUAGCUGACUGAUACUAAUAGGUCGAGGGCUUGACCAA